UACGAAGGGGGCUAGCGUUGCUCGGAAUUACUGGGCGUAAAGGGCGCGUAGGCGGCCUGAUAAGUAGGGGGUGAAAUCCUGCGGCUUAACCGCAGGGCUGCCUUCUAAACUGUCAGGCUUGAGCACAGUAGAGGCAGGUGGAAUUCCCGGUGUAGCGGUGGAAUGCGUAGAGAUCGGGAAGAACAUCAGUGGCGAAGGCGGCCUGCUGGGCUGUUGCUGACGCUGAGGCGCGACAGCGUGGGGAGCAAACAGGG
rnacentral:rRNA from 1 species